rnacentral:rRNA from 1 species
AGAGUUUGAUCCUGGCUCAGAACGAACGCUGGCGGCAGGCUUAACACAUGCAAGUCGAGCGCCCAGCAAUGGGAGCGGCGGACGGGUGAAUAACGCGUGGGAAUAUGCCCUUUGGUACGGAACAACUCAGGGAAACUUGAGCUAAUACCGUAUGAGCCGGUAACGGGAAAGAUUUAUCGCCAAAGGAUUAGCCCGCGUCCGAUUAGCUUGUUGGUGAGGUAAUGGCUCACCAAGGCACCGAUCGGUAGCUGGUCUGAGAGGACGACCAGCCACACUGGGACUGAGACACGGCCCAGACUCCUACGGGAGGCAGCAGUGGGGAAUCUUGGACAAUGGGGGAAACCCUGAUCCAGCCAUGCCGCGUGAGUGAUGAAGGCCUUAGGGUUGUAAAACUCUUUCGACGGGGACGAUAAUGACGGUACCCGUAGAAGAAGCUCC